UGGGGAAUAUUGCACAAUGGGCGCAAGCCUGAUGCAGCCAUGCCGCGUGUAUGAAGAAGGCCUUCGGGUUGUAAAGUACUUUCAGCGGGGAGGAAGGCGGUGAGGUUAAUAACCUCAUCGAUUGACGUUACCCGCAGAAGAAGCACCGGCUAACUCCGUGCCAGCAGCCGCGGUAAUACGGAGGGUGCAAGCGUUAAUCGGAAUUACUGGGCGUAAAGCGCACGCAGGCGGUCUGUCAAGUCGGAUGUGAAAUCCCCGGGCUCAACCUGGGAACUGCAUUCGAAACUGGCAGGCUAGAGUCUUGUAGAGGGGGGUAGAAUUCCAGGUGUAGCGGUGAAAUGCGUAGAGAUCUGGAGGAAUACCGGUGGCGAAGGCGGCCCCCUGGACGAAGACUGACGCUCAGGUGCGAAAGCGUGGGGAGCAAACAGG
rnacentral:rRNA from 1 species